CUUCAUCAAGGUCCUCGGUUAUGGGAUCGGAGAUCUAACAACUGCCGAUGGUUUGUUUUAUCUCUAACAUUCACUUAGUAUUGUCUUUUGAUUAAUGGACCAAGAAUUGAAGUAAAGUUUUAAAAUGUUUAUUUAUUGUGAUAUGUCUACCUACAUUUGAUGCAGUGGAGAGAAUUCUGGAUGCAAAGACAAUGACUGCUGCACCUCCUAUGGCACCUGCUUACGGGCUUUACCUUGACAAUGUGAAAUAUGACCCGAUUGUUUAAAGAGUGAUUUUGAGCUCAAGUUUUGUUAGCUAUUGGAUAUGUAGGUAUGUCUAAUCCAGCUUAUGUAAAUUGGUACCGUUGUACACCUGCAUGAUCCCAACUUCCAAACUAUCCCAAUGAUUGCGAAACAAUAAUGAUACAAGUUACCAAGCUCUGAAUGUUCUGCUUAGAGUUUCAUUGCAACUGUGUGGUCACACACUAAGCUGUGACAUGUAUUGUACGUACAUUUUACCGUCCAAUCUGGCUAAGAAUUAUAUAUGGCCACACAUCAGGUCAAGCAUACAGUAUAUUGCAUGAUUUGAAUUUUCUCUGCAAACAAAUUGGUACACACUAAUUUAGUUAGGCUAGAUCUUCAAUCUGAAAGUUUCCCAUGGUUAGUAUCCAUCAGUUCUUUCUACUUUCUGAUGUACCAUUAUUGUUUUUUCUUGCUUAUUUUUCCAUCUUAAAUGGUUUUGCAGAAACAUACACAAGGGAAGGAGGAAGCAUAAAGUACAGGACAAGGAUCCGAGUGAUGGAGCAGCAAAGUUACUCAUCAAUUAGAUCUUGAUCUCAAUGGUUGACCCUUCUUUUAUUUAUCCAAUAACAAGAUAUGUUUCUAAAUUUCCACUCAAG
rnacentral:lncRNA from 1 species